GGAGGGUACAGCUCAGUGGUAGAGUGCAUGUUCAGCAUGCACGAGGUCCUGAGUUCAAUUCCCAGUCCCUCCA
rfam:Camelus ferus unplaced genomic scaffold scaffold475, whole genome shotgun sequence.